GAACGCUGGCGGCGUGCUUAACACAUGCAAGUCGAACGAUGAUGCCCAGCUUGCUGGGCGGAUUAGUGGCGAACGGGUGAGUAAUACGUGAGUAACCUGCCCUUGACUCUGGGAUAAGCCUGGGAAACUGGGUCUAAUACUGGAUACUACCUCUUGCCGCAUGGUGGGUGGUGGAAAGGGUUUUACUGGUUUUGGAUGGGCUCACGGCCUAUCAGCUUGUUGGUGGGGUAAUGGCUCACCAAGGCGACGACGGGUAGCCGGCCUGAGAGGGUGACCGGCCACACUGGGACUGAGACACGGCCCAGACUCCUACGGGAGGCAGCAGUGGGGAAUAUUGCACAAUGGGCGGAAGCCUGAUGCAGCGACGCCGCGUGAGGGAUGACGGCCUUCGGGUUGUAAACCUCUUUCAGUAGGGAAGAAGCGAGAGUGACGGUACCUGCAGAAGAAGCGCCGGCUAACUACGUGCCAGCAGCCGCGGUAAUACGUAGGGCGCAAGCGUUGUCCGGAAUUAUUGGGCGUAAAGAGCUCGUAGGCGGUUUGUCGCGUCUGCUGUGAAAGCCCGGGGCUCAACCCCGGGUCUGCAGUGGGUACGGGCAGACUAGAGUGCAGUAGGGGAGACUGGAAUUCCUGGUGUAGCGGUGAAAUGCGCAGAUAUCAGGAGGAACACCGAUGGCGAAGGCAGGUCUCUGGGCUGUUACUGACGCUGAGGAGCGAAAGCAUGGGGAGCGAACAGGAUUAGAUACCCUGGUAGUCCAUGCCGUAAA
rnacentral:rRNA from 1 species